CACAGAUGGCAGGCCAGGCGACGAAACUUCUCCGCGGUCAAAGGGAUGGCGCCUCGCUCCACAUAACCGGCGUCACUAAGGUCCCGUCCGUAGCCCUUGACAUAGCCUCGCACCAAUGAGCUGUCGCAAGGAUUCCCGCGGCUUUGAGAGGCGUCAUAGUCCCCUUCCCGGCCCAGCUGCUUAAAGGCAGUCGCAAGGCUCGAGAUAAC
rnacentral:lncRNA from 1 species